UUCGGGUUGUAAACCUCUUUCAGCACAGACGAAGCGCAAGUGACGUGUAUGUGCAGAAGAAGGACCGGCCAACUACGUGCCAGCAGCCGCGGUAAUACGUAGGGUCCGAGCGUUGUCCGGAAUUAUUGGGCGUAAAGGGCUCGUAGGCGGUCUGUCGCGUCGGGAGUGAAAACCAGGUGCUUAACACCUGGCCUGCUUUCGAUACGGGCAGACUAGAGGUACUCAGGGGAGAAUGGAAUUCCUGGUGUAGCGGUGAAAUGCGCAGAUAUCAGGAGGAACACCGGUGGCGAAGGCGGUUCUCUGGGAGUAAUCCUGACGCUGAGGAGCGAAAGUGUGGGGAGCGAACAGGAUUAGAUACCCUGGUAGUCCCACAACCGGUUAAAACGUUGGGCGGCUAGGUGUGGGGAAUCCAUUCCACGGGUUCCGUGCCGCAAGCCUAAAGCAUAAGCGGCCCCGGCCCUAGGGAGAACCGCCCGGCAAGCUUAAAACUC
rnacentral:rRNA from 1 species